rnacentral:rRNA from 1 species
AGAGUUUGAUCAUGGCUCAGAUUGAACGCUGGCGGCAGGCCUAACACAUGCAAGUCGAACGGUAACAGGAAACAGCUUGCUGUUUCGCUGACGAGUGGCGGACGGGUGAGUAAUGUCUGGGAAACUGCCUGAUGGAGGGGGAUAACUACUGGAAACGGUAGCUAAUACCGCAUAACGUCGCAAGACCAAAGAGGGGGACCUUCGGGCCUCUUGCCAUCAGAUGUGCCCAGAUGGGAUUAGCUAGUAGGUGGGGUAACGGCUCACCUAGGCGACGAUCCCUAGCUGGUCUGAGAGGAUGACCAGCCACACUGGAACUGAGACACGGUCCAGACUCCUACGGGAGGCAGCAGUGGGGAAUAUUGCACAAUGGGCGCAAGCCUGAUGCAGCCAUGCCGCGUGUAUGAAGAAGGCCUUCGGGUUGUAAAGUACUUUCAGCGGGGAGGAAGGGAGUAAAGUUAAUACCUUUGCUCAUUGACGUUACCCGCAGAAGAAGCACCGGCUAACUCCGUGCCAGCAGCCGCGGUAAUACGGAGGGUGCAAGCGCUAAUCGGAAUUACUGGGCGUAAAGCGCACGCAGGCGGUUUGUUAAGUCAGAUGUGAAAUCCCCGGGCUCAACCUGGGAACUGCAUCUGAUACUGGCAAGCUUGAGUCUCGUAGGGGGGGUAGAAUUCCAGGUGUAGCGGUGAAAUGCGUAGAGAUCUGGAGGAAUACCGGUGGCGAAGGCGGCCCCCUGGACGAAGACUGACGCUCAGGUGCGAAAGCGUGGGGAGCAAACAGGAUUAGAUACCCUGGUAGUCCACGCCGUAAACGAUGUCGACUUGGAGGUUGUGCCCUUGAGGCGUGGCUUCCGGAGCUAACGCGUUAAGUCGACCGCCUGGGGAGUACGGCCGCAAGGUUAAAACUCAAAUGAAUUGACGGGGGCCCGCACAAGCGGUGGAGCAUGUGGUUUAAUUCGAUGCAACGCGAAGAACCUUACCUGGUCUUGACAUCCACGGAAGUUUUCAGAGAUGAGAAUGUGCCCUCGGGAACCGCGAGACAGGUGCUGCAUGGCUGUCGUCAGCUCGUGUUGUGAAAUGUUGGGUUAAGUCCCGCAACGAGCGCAACCCUUAUCCUUUGUUGCCAGCGGUCCGGCCGGGAACUCAAAGGAGACUGCCAGUGAUAAACUGGAGGAAGGUGGGGAUGACGUCAAGUCAUCAUGGCCCUUACGACCAGGGCUACACACGUGCUACAAUGGCGCAUACAAAGAGAAGCGACCUCGCGAGAGCAAGCGGACCUCAUAAAGUGCGUCGUAGUCCGGAUUGGAGUCUGCAACUCGACUCCAUGAAGUCGGAACCGCUAGUAAUCGUGGAUCAGAAUGCCACGGUGAAUACGUUCCCGGGCCUUGUACACACCGCCCGUCACACCAUGGGAGUGGGUUGCAAAAGAAGUAGGUAGCUUAACCUUCGGGAGGGCGCUUACCACUUUGUGAUUCAUGACUGGGGUGAAGUCGUAACAAGGUAACCGUAGGGGAACCUGCGGUUG